CAGAAGGCACAUAAUCCUGAACCCUUAGGGCAUUGACAAAUAAUUUUUUUUUGCAGUGCGGCAAGGAUCUGCUGUUAUCUGCCUAGGAUUGUUGGCUUUCAUUGCAGUUGUUGACUGCCAAGCAAUCAAUAAUCUCGCGCCCACACUAACCGAACACUCUAUACAAUGCCCACCGUUCGACGAUCCCUACCACAAUGUGAUGUUGCCAUAUCCCAACGACUGUCGCAAGUAUUACGUAUGCCAAAAAGGACGCGCCUUCGAGUACCAGUGUCCUCCGAAUUUGUUCUG
rnacentral:sRNA from 1 species